GGCCCAUUGCGGUAGCAUUGAGCAACGUACACAAUAGCGUUAAUACGAUUCCAAUGGAGUUUCCCAUCUCAAAAGUAUAUCUGCCCAUGCAAGAGUAAAAAUGGCGUAGAACGGUGGAGACCCGUUCAACGACCGACGGACAACACCCGGGACAUUAGCGGUUACUGAUGAUUUUGGUGGCUUGGAAUGCUUUCAUCUGCCUCUCCAGCUUCUAGACAAGAUCAUCUCUGACUGUGCAACAUCCGAACAUGUCCAUCAUUUGACAAAGAUGCAAACUAAAUGACUGCCAGGUGUGGGGAAACUGUCCUGCGGACCACAGGAGUUAGGAUAACACCGACCAACUGUCAAGCUCAGCUGUUGAAACCAGAGAUGGAUCAAGGUCUGUGUCAACAUCAAUGGAUCGAGAUAUCAACCUCCGCCAUUCUUCAGUAAAGAGUGGACCGCUCCGGGGAUGUGUGGGUUACAGGAGAGACUGGGUACCACAACCCAGAUCUGUCUGUCUCCUCUUUCCUCACCGAGCUGUCUGUCUGUCUCCUCACCGAGCUGUCUGUCUCCUCACCUAGCU